rnacentral:miRNA from 1 species
AGCAGCAUUGUACAGGGGUGU